GGAAACGACUGCUAAUACCGCAUAAGCCCACGGGUCGGCAUCGACCUGAGGGAAAAGGAGCAAUCCGCCUUGAGAUGGCCUCGCGUCCGAUUAGCUAGUUGGUGAGGUAACGGCCCACCAAGGCGACGAUCGGUAGCCGGACUGAGAGGUUGAACGGCCACAUUGGGACUGAGACACGGCCCAGACUCCUACGGGAGGCAGCAGUGGGGAAUAUUGCACAAUGGGGGAAACCCUGAUGCAGCGACGCCGCGUGGAGGAAGAAGGUCUUCGGAUUGUAAACUCCUGUUGUUGAGGAAGAUAAUGACGGUACUCAACAAGGAAGUGACGGCUAACUACGUGCCAGCAGCC
rnacentral:rRNA from 1 species